UCUCCAUUUUGUUAUAAUCCAAAUGCAUUUAUAUUACUAUUAUUAUAAAGUGCCAGAAACACACGCAGCCCCCUCGCAAAGGCGUUAAAUAGACAAGAGACUCAAUUCUGCCCUUGGUUACACUUGCACAUCUCCAGUGAGAGGGCUGUUAAGCUGCGGAGCCAUCUCCCUGGGGAAGCUGUUUGAAGAGCCCUGCCAUUGUUCUAACAAAGCUCGGUGAUAACGUAGCACACCAGGAGAGUAUUUUACUUUAGAUUUGAUGGCCUGCGUCUAACAAACCGAAUCUCUUUCGUCGUAUCAGAAUAAUGGCAGGAGAGGAAGAUUGUCUCCUCUUCGCUGUUUUUCCUGCUCAAACCCCGUUAUCACUUCUCAUCAUCAGACUGUGACUUCUUGGAGGAGGCAUUUUGGAUUAAAUUCUUCCGAGUUUUAUGUGUGCGGUUCCUGUAAAAUUCUCUUUCAACAGGGAACGUCCUGCAGGAUGGUGAGUAAUCUUCUGGAGUAGAUUGGGCUGUCCCAUUAGAUGCAGUGCUAAGGGACAUGGUGUAGGGGAUGACCUUGUAGAGUAGGGUAGAUGGUUGGACUCGAUGAUCCCAAGGGUCUCUUCCAACCUAGACGAUUCUAUGGCUUUUUGGGUGUGCGGGACCGGAGAAAGCAAAGCCAGGAGAUAGAGGUGGGCUCCAUGCUGGCACCUGGAGCUGUACCAGAGGUCAUAAAAGGGGCCUCUAAAUUGUUCUGGUGCCAGAAAGGUGGAGAGUGGGCUCUUCAGUGAGAAGGGAAAUUAAAUUUGUUAGUGAUUAAAAGGACAAGAGAGACGCGUUGGAAGCAAUUGGUGCCAAUGAGGCCUCUCGGCGGCUCCCGAAGCAAAUUGCAGUCUCGGGGGAAUAUCAGCUUCUCGGUCCAUCAAAUUGCAGUAAUCAAGUCUGGAGCUGAUGGGAGCAUGAGCCCCCACUUAAUUUUCUCAUCAGCGGAGGCCAAGUUUGCAAAAUAUUUUUAGAUGCGUUUCCGCAGAGAUUUCUGCCAGCGGGUGACCUGUGGAGUGACAAGAAAAUGAGCAAUAGCUGCCGGGGAAUCGGGCUCUGCUGAGUCCAACUGCAGCUUUGGGCAGGGAGGGCAGGGAGAUCAAAGGCCUUUGGCAUUGCUGUGCAGAAAAGAGCCCCGCUGGGUUGAUCCCAUCACCUGGAUUUGUUAAGCAAUAAAAUAACCUGUUAAUUCUCAGGCUGUCUGGUAGGUUCAGAUCAACGCCGACCCCGUGCUGCUCACCCAGACCAGAACCAGGCACGAGAGAAGAAAGUGAUUUGUGGUUCCUGCUCGGAGAAACAGCCGAUACCCAACAGCUUGCAGCCCACGGAAGAGAACAUGCAUCUCCUAAGGAUCCCAUCCUGGUUCCUGGCCUUGCUGCUUUGCCUCCCUUGGCUUGUGUGGUCCUGAGUAGCUGCAGAAGCUGGGCCAAAAGGGCUGGCCAAGCCACCCAGCCAGAUCUUCAUAAUAACUGCAUGAGACAGUGUUGUCCUGGACCAGAGGGGAACAGAGUCAAGGAAAGGCUUGAUGAUGGGCAAAACCAGAGUGAUUUCAGACAGAAAAGUGAGGGAUGGCAGCCUAACGUGGACCAUGGAUGGCUGGAGGCUGACGUGCACUGGAGGAACUGAGCCAUUCUGCUGGAAAUGGGGGAUCUGUGACCAACACAGCCAUGCACCUCCAGAGGGAAA